CAUAUGAAAACCUGUGGCUUUAACUGUCCUCCACUCAUUCAAUUAACGGCCGAAGAUACUGAGUGAGAGAAAAAAAUAAGAAGAAGAGAAUUAAAGAAAUGAUUAACAAAGAUAAAGGUUUUUAACUAAAUGUUGCCAUUUCUUUAAAUUCUUUCACGGAGAAGCCCAACUCUUGAUUUCUCCUGCACCACCACAACCUGAGCCUGGAAUAUAUCUACUGGCUGAACUGAGACAGGGGCCUCUGUAGAGCAAAUCCCCAAGA
rnacentral:lncRNA from 1 species